AUGGCUUUGAGAAACCAUGAUAUUGUGUGCGCCUUCGACUCUGUCUCCUGGCCGUUUCUUCUUCAGGUUCUUCGCCACCUUGGCUUCGAUCCUCGAUGGCGGGAAUGGAUCUCCAUUCUUCACUCCACUGCCAAGACCCGUGUUUUGAUCAACGGCAAUCUGGGCCCGCCAAUCCAUCAUGAAAAGGGCUUGCGUCAAGGUGAUCCUGUCUCCCCGAUGUUAUUCGUGCUGGUCAUCGACAUCCUCAACUCUCUCCUU
rnacentral:rRNA from 1 species